rnacentral:misc_RNA from 1 species
AGAAGGAGGGAGGGAGGA